rnacentral:rRNA from 1 species
AGUGAACGCUGGCGGCGUGCCUAACACAUGCAAGUCGAACGAUGAUGGAGGAGCUUGCUCUUCCUGAUUAGUGGCGCACGGGUGAGUAUACCAUAGAUAAUGUACCCCUUAGUUCGGGAUAGCCACUGGAAACGGUGAGUAAUACCGGAUAAUCCUUCUCGUUAUAAGACGAGUCGGGUAAGGUUUUACGCUAAGGGAGGAGUCUAUGUCCUAUCAGCUAGUUGGUGAGGUAAUGGCUCACCAAGGGUAUGACGGGUAAUCUGGUUUGAGAGGAUGAGCAGACACACUGGAACUGAGACACGGUCCAGACUACUACGGGAGGCAGCAGUGAGGAAUAUUGCACAAUGGAGGAAACUCUGAUGCAGCAGCGCCGCGUGGAGGAUGACGCAUUUCGGUGUGUAAACUCCUUUUAAGAGGGAAGAUUAUGACGGUACCUCUUGAAUAAGCACCGGCUAACUCCGUGCCAGCCGCCGCUGUAAAAC